rnacentral:lncRNA from 1 species
AUCUGCAGAAUUCUCAGGAGGGAAGAGAAGGAGUUGAGCCAUAACCUCCUAACCUCUGCGGCACACCCUCGGCCAGCAACCUCAUUCUCCUUCUGGCAUUUGGAGGGCUCUGUGGAUCCCUUGCCCUCAGAAAUGCUAUCAACAUAAUGAAAGUUGAGAUGAAAAUUAAUCAUUUGCUGAGCUUCCUCCUGCAUCUGUUUUAAAACCUUCUGAGGGUGAGAGGAAUCUGUAGAACCUUGGAAGGCUGUGCUGGGAUUCCCACUGACUGUACUGGGAAAUCUGAGGUGAUCCAUUCGAAGCGGUUAUUAGGAAGAAAUGAGAUGACACUGUUUCUCAGCAUUUGAGAUCAAGAACCUCAGAUUGGAACAGGGCCAGCACUUUAGUAGCUGAAAGCAGUCUGUGCAUUCAUUUGAAAUGAAGGAUGGGAAGUUCCCUGAAAAGGUUUAAAGUCUUAAUUCAAUUGAUAUUGGCACAAUAAACUCUAGGACACAUCCAAAUCCAUUACGAAGACUCCUCAUGCCAGCAGAUUUGCAAAACUAGAUGUGGAAUUGCAUCAAGUUCUUUCUGCUCUAUGUUUUAAGAGACACACUCAAGAGUUUCAUGCAGACUUGUCAUCACAUUCUGGCUCUCUCAUUUUCCUGGAAAGUUGGGCAAGCUACUUCAAAUUUUGGAGUCUCAUUUUCCUCAUCUGUGGAAUGAAUGUCAUAAUACAUAUUCACUGACUUAACAUGAGGACGGCGUGUGUUAAUAAUAAACCUAAUCUUGUGACCA